ACACACCGACUGAUCUAACUCACUGGUUCCUCCUCUGUCAUUUGAAGAACAUUCCAAAGCAGCACGUCACACUCCGACUGCAACUGUCAAAACAGUCUCUCCGUAACCCAGCUCAGAUCGGUGGACAUAGACACCUCACACUGGCUGCAGCUGGAACAACUGAAUGCUGUGAAGAAAGAAUGAGUGCAAAUAGAGCACUCGAAAGACAGUGGAAACAUUUGAGGUUGUUUGGAGUAAAAGAUUCCAGGUGCUCAGUGUAUCACAUGUAACUGAACGCUCCAGGCAGAAGAGUUCAUCAAACUGCUCUGGUGAAGCACUGCUGAACGAUGGGCUUCCAGUUACCUGUUUUCCGAAUGCACUGCGGUAAAUCGGAGCUGAAAGUUUGCCGCUAACUGCCUUAGAAAAGCCAAAGUCAACAGGAGCACAGCAACCUCCGGGUUCAGUUCCAUCGGAGCUUGGUGGGUCAUGGCUAGUGUGCUGUUUAGCCAUCUGACCGCUUUUCUCCACAUGAGGGCCCAUACUCUUAGCGGGCUGGUUAAGCGGGGACAAAGAUCAUAAAACAUGAUGAGGAUAUUGAUGGGAAUGACAGCAACAUUGUUGUUGAUGCCGCAGGGUGAUGAUGGUAAUGAUAGAGUUCACUUCCUCAGGCUUGUCUUGUGAGGCACAGUUGACAACUGUGGCCUGUACCUCAGAAGUGCCAUAAUUCCAACAACAAAAAUGCGUCUUUUAAGAUCGGCAAUACUCCUUGGUAGAGACAAAAAGGCCUGAUAAGAGCUAAAUUUACAGCCUCAAUCUUUAUUUCUGAAUGUGGGCUCAGCAGAGUUGCUCCAUUCUAGGUGGCCUCCAAAGCCACAGUGGAGUAUCUUGUGGCAGGGAAAAAGGGCAUUCCAACAGAACUGGGGAAAAGAGUGGGCUGAGGGAGAAACCUCAAGAAAUUUGGGUUGGGGGAGAAUUAUGGAAGACCCAAAAGCCACAGCCCAAGAGAGGAAAUAGGAACUCUGCAUCUCAAGACUCAAUCCUCCUGGCCAAACAUCAUAACAUGUGAUUAAGUCAACUUGCUGCUUUCCACGAAAGAGCCUGGAAGGAAAUCUGCAGCUGUUUGCUGAGAUACUCUCUUUUCUCUCUGACUGAUAAAAGCAAGGGUUCAGCAUUAAUGAACCAGCUGACGAGCUCCUGGUCACCACGUUCACCCAUGAAUCUAAAUUUUGUGUUUCUC